UUUCUUCACAAACUGUCACGCUCUAGACACUGGUGAACCCUAGCCUGCUAGCCGCCGCGGCGCCGCCUUUGCCCUCGCUCGGCCACGCGCCGUCCCGUCCGCCGUCGCGCCCUCUGGCCUCGUCCGCCCGCCCGGCCACGCGUCGUCCGUCGUCGCGCCAUACGGCUGUGGCUCGCCUUGCCCGCCCGGUGCCCGCCCGGCCACGCGCCGUCCGCCGUCACUCGUCAGCAGUUCAUCUGUUCAUGUACUGAUGUACAGACCUAAUAACUUUGGCUAUUAGUUAUCUUCACGUCCAUUGUUUACUUACUAUAUGAAUUAGCAAGGAUUCAAUUAUCUGGCUAUUAUGACUGCUUGAUUGCUUCUAGUUUUGUAUGGUUUAUUUGUCUGUCGAACAUGUACUUUUGAUGUUAUUUAUAAACUGGGCAUGAGCUUUACUUAUGAUCCAGAUAUUCUAAGUUGCAAUGACCUAGGUGAUCUUGCUGUGAGAAUGGUUCAGAGUGACAGGCAUGUUGUUUUUCUAUUUGUAUAUCAUCUCAUUGAACUAGCUUUGGUUUUACCAGUGACAACAACAUUUGUGGAGAGAGCUUUCUCAUCUAUAAAUAUCAUUAAAACUAAGUUACGGAAUAAGACAGUAGACGAAUGGCUUAACCAUUGUAUGAUGUGUUAUAUUGAGAGGGAUAUAUUUACGAGCAUUGAGGAUGCAAAGAUAUUGGAUUAUUUUCAAGACAUGAGAACCCGCAGGGUGAAUCUAUCUCGUAUUAGUGGUUCUAGAGCAAGAAGCACUGAUGUUGAUGUUGACAUGAUACAUUUGGAAGGAGCUACAUCAUAAAUUUUAUGUCAUUAACACCUAUGAUAACGUUGUUUCGCCUUACAAUUUUUUUUAUAUGCUAUUAUUAGAGUUUAUGGUCGA